rnacentral:rRNA from 1 species
AGAGAGAGACAUGCGUGCAUAUCAAUAAGCGGAGGAAAAGAAACUAACAAGGAUUCCCCUAGUAACGGCGAGUGAAGCGGGAAGAGCUCAAAUUUGAAAUCUUAAAGGGUUUCCCUUUACGAAUUGUAGUUUAAAGAAGUGUUUUCUGUUGAGGUUUUGGUAAAAGUUCUUUGGAAUAGGACAUCAUAGAGGGUGAGAAUCCCGUAUUUGACCUUUACUUUCAACUUUGUGAUACACUUUCAAAGAGUCGGAUUGUUUGGGAAUGCAGUCCAAAAUGGGUGGUAAAUUUCAUCUAAAGCUAAAUAUUGGCGAGAGACCGAUAGCGAACAAGUACCGUGAGGGAAAGAUGAAAAGAACUUUGAAAAGAGAGUUAAACAGUACGUGAAAUUGUCAAAAGGGAAGCGUUUGACACCAGUGUUGUUUUUCUGAAAAUCAAUUAAAGAACUGUUUAUGCUAAGCUGUUUAGACUUUAUCAGCUAACUGUUUAGUUUUGAGCUUUUCUUUAAUGCACUUUUCAGUUAACAAGUCAACAUCAAUUUCUUUUGCUGUAAAAAAGCUUGAGGAAGGUGGCUUGAGAUUCGUCUUAAGUGUUUAUAGCCUCUUGCCUAUGCAGUCGGAGAGAUUGAGGUCUGCAGCGUAGAUCCUUCGGGGCUAAAUGCAUUUGUGCUAAGUUAUAGCAUUUUAUAGACAACUUGUUGACUAUGAUUUGUCUUGUAGCUUACUCGCUUAUGUUAUUUUACCUACGCUUAGGAUGUUGAGCGCAUGUCUCUCUCU